UUUAUGAUCUUACUCCUUUCCCUCCCCACUGAUUGUCGGGGAAACUCGAUUAUUCCAUUAAGAUAAUCGCUUCGAUUAGCCUGUCAGUUGAGGCCCUAAUCAGUUAGUCGACACACGACCGAUUUCCAACAGAUUGAUGCCUGUGUAAACUUACAGAAAAUUGCGCAUACGAAGCGUAGGCCUCGGACAAGGGACAAUACAAAGUUUAACUACUUGAUAUGCAGACGAGGAGGCAUUGGAAAUUAUGAAGAUGCAAGAGAUGAUGACAGCUGUGGACCGUUCUGCCACAGGGGAAUUCGUUCGGUGGCCCUAGGCUGGUCACGUUUCACUCGAGAAAAGAACGUAAAAUAAAUAAACCCAUUUGUUAACCAUUUGACUACGUGUCGAGAUCAUUUGAGUGGUCUGUUUGCCAACGAACUGUUAAGUUCUUGCUGCUCCGAAUGUUUUAGUUCUCGGCAAGAAAAGCAAUCAAAUGAAGUCGACUAUCAUUAUUCAUUUAAACCCUCUAACAGGAAGGAGAGGCAAAUAAAAGAGUAAGCAAA